rnacentral:lncRNA from 1 species
AGAUGCUGGAGGGUUAUUUUACUUGUUACUGCAUUAGGGGUUGUACAAGGAUGGGCUCUUACAAGAGGUCUGAAUCAAGGCACCGUUCUCUUGUCUCCUUUUAUCAACCCUUAAAAUGGUUGAUGCAGACAUUGCAAACUAUAACUUGGAUUCAGGGAAAAUUAGCUGGACCCGGGUCCCAUUGAAAACAGGGUGGCUUCACUUAUUGACUAUUCACAUUGAGUUCAAUGGGAAUGAAGUGCAACUAAUUUUAUCUGCAUCCAACCCAAUGUAUUUUUUUGAAAAGGAAGAACCAUAGAACCAUAGACUUCUGCUUCACUUCAUGACACCACAUAGAAAUUUGGUUACUGUUCAUGGAUUGGCACCACACAGUGGUACAUUGGUUCUCAAACGCCUUGGUUCUCAAACGCCAAAAACCCAGAAGUUAAGUGGUCUGGUUUUUGAACUUUUUUUGGAAGUUGAAUGUCCGAUGCAGCUGUUGGCUAUUGUUUCUGGGGCGCCUGCACCAAUCAGAAACUGCACCUUGGUUUUUGAACAUUUCAGAAGUCAAACAGAUUUCUGGAAUAGGUUAAGUUUGGCGCUUUUGUUUUUGCUAUUUAUUUUGUGUUUUUGUUUUUGAGGCUUUUUCGGUUAAUUGGUUUUUGUGACUGUGUGGAGCCCAGUUCAGCUACUGAUUGAUUGAUUGAUUGAUUGAUUGUGUGACUGCGGAAAUGGAUAAAAGCCCCCAUCCAAAAAAUGACUAUCAUCAGUGCAGGUAAGAAUUUUUUUUUUAAUUUUUUUAUCUGCAAUGCUGUCUUAUUUAUUUUAUAGUACAUUACCUUGAUUAUUGCUAUGCCAUUGUGUGUCAUCUGUCAUUGGAACAGGGGCACGGGAGGAAUUUUCCCCACUUGGCUGAUUGGCUGUUGCCAUUUGGGUUUCGCCUGCCGUGUAGCAAUUCAUCACAACUUGUAAUGUUGUGGAUAGGCACUGGUUCAUGUGAUAGGGAUGGGAGAAUGCUCUCGCCAUCCCUAUGUGAAGGGUAUUCCCUUAAAUGAAUCCAGGGACUCAAUUUGGUUUGGCCAACCCCCGAAAAGGGGUUGUGCCUGUGCCUGACUCCAGGGGAGCAUCUGGGGAGUGAACAGAGUCUAUUCCCAGGCUUUUCACCUGCCUCAGGUGUUCACCUUUGGCUGAUCUAUGCUGGAGCCCUGGGUCAGCGCUACCUGCAAGGGUGUAAGGAGCUAGUCAAACCAGAGACUAUGCAACCAAUCACUUUCUGUAAUCAAUAAAGUUGUGGCCUAAAUUCUGUCAAAAACCAAAACUAAAAUUUGAGUCAAAUGUGUCUUUAUUGAGGGGGAGGUCUCUGAUAAAAAAAUGCAUUGACUUGGGGGUAUCAGUCCCUUCCAAUUAAUUUUUCCUCUGAGACAUAUUUAUCAGUGUUGUUAAAGGGAGUGCAUUAAGAAACUUCUUCACUGUUAUUUAAAGAGCUCUCUUAGGCUUUUCUUCACCCUUUCCUGGAAGUAAUUUUCACUACAUUUCAUUGUGAAAACUUUAUACUUUGAAGCAUUAAAGUCAAUGUACUAAGACAAUAUAGUAGUUUAAGCCUUCGGGGCUGCUAAGAUGCACCCUAACUGCCUUGCUAAGUGCAGCCAGGUAAAUUUUAGAGUGCCAAAUCUAAAUCCUAGAGCACAUUUAACUCUUACAAGUUUUAGAGUUUUUUGGAACUUGUCAUUUUUGGAACUUGUUUUAUUUUGAAGGGGGGAGUGCAGAUCAAACUAUGGUUUAUUAUUACUGCAUAAUAACUGCAGUCUAGUAUCUGCAGUAUUCUGAUAUAUUGGUGCCAUAUACUAGAGAAUAAUGCAUAUGUGUGCAGUUAGCUGGUUCACCCCUGAAAUACAUAGACAUGAGGAAAAGGAAAAGAUCAGCAUCGAUGCCCGUGUACUUUAAUAGGCAACAGAGGGCUUUUUAAAAAAUAUUUGAACCAGUUCUGCUUUCUAAUAGGGAAAAUCCGCUUAACUAAGCUGGCAAGAGCUGUCACUUUUAGGAAGAGGACUAUGAAUAGCAGGAAGGAACCACUAGGGUCAUCUAGUCCAGCCCCCCGCAAUGCAGGAAUCUUUUUCCCAACGUGGUGCUCAAACCCAUGGCCCUGAUUUCAGGAGUCUCAUGCUUUACUGACUGAGCUAUCCCAGGUCUGUAGAAGCUCUAUGAUGCUACUUUAAACAUUCAUGGCUUCACCCCAAAGAAUUCUGGGAGCUAUGGUUUGUUAAGGGAGUGAGAGAAGCCCCUGUUCCCCUCUGAGAGCUACAGUUGUGUAAUUAAGACUCAAUCCCUCUUCACAAGGGAUACAACUCUGAGAAUUGUAGCAAUGGGAGAGGAAUAGGGGCCUCCUAACAGCUCUCGGCCCAUUUAACAAACCACAGCUCCCAGAAUUCUUUGAGGGAAUUGAAUGAGAAUGGAAGACAGAACAUAAUGUUAAGGCGGACAAAUUAACUCUCUCUCUCUCUCUCUCUCUCUCUAUAUAUAAUAUGAACAACAACAACAACAGUGGGUUAGAGGAACAUUUAAACGGAGCAACUUCGUUUUUACCAGCUAUGGAAAAACUAUUGUAGAAUUCAUUUUAGGGGGUUUUUAAGUAUGAAAAAAAAAAAUCAGAACUGAAUACGUUUCUCCACUAAGGCUGCAAUUAUAUGCACACUUACUUAUGCUGCCCCAUUGAACAAACAGUUGUAGGAUUGAGCUGCUUGUAUGUAUGCUAAUUCUUUCUAAAAGUGGAGGUCCCUGGUUUCAGUAAAGCUCUAUGGUGAAGACAUGUUUGUUUGUUAUUUAUUUCAUUUAUAUCCACCUUGCUCUCCAAGGUGUCAGGGAGGUGUACAGUGGUACCCUGGUUCUCAAACAUAAUCCGUUCCGGAAGUCUGUUCAACUUCUGAAAUAUUAAAAAACCAAGGCGUGGCUUCUGAUUGGUGCAGGCACCCUGGAAACAGUAGGAGACAGCCGCAUCAGACAUUUGGCUUCCUAAAAAGGUUCGAAAACCUGAACACUUACUUCUGGGUUUUUGGUGUUUGGGAGCUGCAAUGUUUGAGUACCAUGGCAUUCGAGAACCAAGGUUCCACUGUACCAACCAACACUCCCCUUCCUCAUUAAUCCCCACAAGACUGUGAGGUAGGUUAGGCUAAGAGGCAGUGAAUGGCCCAAGUUCACCCAUUGAGCUUCAUAACUGAAUGGGGAUUUGAACCCUGGUCUCCCAGGUCCCUAGUCCAACACUCUAACCACUACACCACACUGGCCCUUCCCUCUCUUAUUCAAAUAUUUAUUCAUACUUCUCUUCCUAAAAGAAAAGGUACAUUUGCGAAGUACCUAAAGGAGCAUCUCCAACUCCAUCAUUCAGCUGGACACUGAGGUCCAGCUCCGAGGGCCUUCUGGCGGUUCCCUCACUGUGAGAAGUGAAGCUACAUUGAACCAGGCAGAGGGCCUUCUUGGUAGUAGCGCCCGCCCUGUGCAACACCCUCCCAUCCGAUGUCAAGGAAAGAAACAACAAUCUGAUUUUUAGAAGACAUCUGAAGGCAGCCCUGUAUAGGGAAGUUUUUAAUGUUGGAUGUUUUGCUGUGGCUUUUAUAAUUGUGGGAAGCCGCCCAGGGUGGCUGGGGCAACUGGGUCAGAUGGGUGAAAUACUGUGAGAAUGUGGCUGCAGCCAGGUAGAAUGGAAUGGGAGAAAUGGACAUCGUUCACUGGUGGAUUGCAUGCAAGAACUCCUGAUUCAACCCUUCACAUUUCCAGGUAGGGCUGGAAAGAACUCCAGUGAAUGUAGACAAUUCUGAGCUAGAUUGACUGAGGUGUAACCCAGUACAGUGGUACCUUGGGGUUAAGUACUUAAUUUGUUCCGGAGGUUCGUACUUAACCUGAAACUGUUCUUAACCUGAAGCACCACUUUAGCUAAUGGGGCCUCCUGCUGCUGCCGCGCCACCAGAGCCCGAUUUCUGUUCUCAUCCUGAAGCAAAGUUCUUAACCCAAAGCACUAUUUCUGGGUUAGCGGAGUCUGUAACCCGAAGCGUAUGUAACCUGAAGCGUAUGUAUCCUGAGGUACCACUGUAUAAGGAAGCUUCCAAUGAGGGAAUUAUCAUCUAGUGGAAGAGAGAGAGGGAAGCCAAGUUUUUAUGUAUACUAUUCCUUACAUCAUGUUCUGCCGCUAAAUACUGGGAGUGUACUCUCAACAUUCCCUUCCAACAUUUUUUGAGGAAAACGAUUAAAAAUGCCCUCAGAUAGGACACCACUACGAGCACUUAAGACUGAGCCUCAAGGGCGGAAAAGCUCCAUUUCUGGAUUUCGUAAAGUCAUAUCAGCCUGACAAGCUAAGGUCAUUGAAGUUCAGUUCCAAAAUGUGCUCAUCCCUUAGGAGAAUGGGACAUUAUUAAUAUUUUUGUAGAGAAGAGCUCAUGAGUGAUGCUGCCGUCUCUCUCAAUGAUGAAAUGAAAAGGGUAUUCCACUGUGUGCUGUGAAAUAUAUAAUAUAUCUUCCACAUAGUUGGUUGGGGAUCAACUGCCAAUUUCUUCACGGUUGGAGCUCCUGAUUGAACUGCCAGCUGUGUUCCACGGAUUGAAAGAGACCUUGAAAAUGGCAAAGCCAGGCUCGGAAUACUGAGCUGACAAAACAAAACUGACAAGAACAGCAAUAGCUAUUCUUUCCAAGUACACAUCAUAGGAAAUGUCACUGCAAAAGAAAGGAGGGAAAACAAGAAAGGAGAGAAAAGGGAAAUAGAAAUCAAGCAGUUUUUAAGCUGGACUUAGAAAAGGUGCCCCACGUGUCUUAAGGAAAAACAGCAAUACCUAAUUUUAUUGUGGUCUCAAAUAAAAAUACAAUAAACAGACACACAAGAGAGAGAGAGACUCUCCCUUAAUGACUUUUCCCUCUCUGGCUGUGGUAGAAAUCUUUAUUAUCUCUAAGUUUAAUACAGAAAAGACAGAAAAAUAAGGAAGGUCCUUCACGCAGUGUGUUUUCUGGCCACGGAGUAAGACACUCUUAAGCCCCAUUGAUUUUAAUUUGGAGCUCCCUGCCUAGGAACGGUCUCCAAGGAAAUCUUAGGUAACCUUCUGAAGGUUGGUAAAAACCUUCUCAUUUAGGAAUGCUUUUGGAUCGUGAGGUGUCUGUAGGUGUGAUUUAUGGGAUCUCUGGUUUUGCUGAAUCUUUUGCUUGUCUAACGGUUGUUUAAAGCUGGUAGCUUGUUAUAGGUGCUUUUAUGUGCAUGGAUGUUAGUUCUGUGAGAAACUACUGCUAGCUAGACGGGCUAUGUCCAUAUCUACCAAUAUCUACAGCUGUGUCUUAUUUAUAACUUUUCUGCCUGACCUUUCAUUGCCAAGUAACUUCAGGGCUAGUUACCUAAUAAUACAAACACUUGCAAAAAAUCAACUGCACGGUUGAUCUUACGGAGGCCUUAAGUCAGCAUCUUUUUUUUUUUACAAUAAUUUUUAUUUCACCGUUCUAAAAAUAAAUAACAUAAUAUGAAUGCUAAAACAAUUAACUUUAAACAAGUAUGCUCUAAAACAGUGGUUCUUAAAGGGUGUGGCGCACCACACCAGUGUGUCAGGAAAAGAUGGCAAGUGUGGCAGAAAGAUUCAAGGACAAUAAAAAUAAACUUUAAACAUCUCAGCGUAGUAUAGUAUAGUAUCAAUUUUCAAUUUUAUUUUUUUUACAGAAUAUGCAGCUGCAUUGUUUUAUACUUUCCGGAUGUCCCAUAAUCAUAUUAUAAAGUAGGUGUUGCUUUUUGUUUACCAAUAUAUUUCUUAUCAAUAAAAAUUUUGGUGUGAUGCAAGCAAAUUUGUAUUCUUGACAGGGUGGCCCAGAUAAAAGUUUGAGAACUAUGGCUGUUCUCAACAAAGCAGAAGUCAAUUUUCUCCCCCACUUGUGGUUUGCCAAAACCGUCCGCUCCAGGUCUUCAUCUUUCAAGUGCCACUUCUUAUUCAUUCAAUUUUUAUGGAACAUCUACAUGAUGUCAUCAUCAAAUAGUUGUCUUGUGUCUUCCCCAUGGAUCUCCCAUCUCUUUUGAGAGCUCACAGCAUCAAAUCAACAGCCCAUGGAAAUUUGUGCCCUAAUAAAUCUAUUUAAGGUGCCACUAGACUAUUUAUUGUUAUAUGUUUGCUUACUCCCUCUGCAAUCGUACAGAAUGUAUAUUAAAUGUAGAUAUUAAGCGGUAGAAGGGUAAUGAAGAAGAAAGAAAACUACAGUGGGCUCUUUUUUUCCUUUCAUGGUGGGAAAGAAAACAAUUCUAGGAGCAAAUGAUACAUUAAAUAAGUAAAUCUAAAGUAUACAUUUUGACUGUAGAUUCUCUGAAAAUCAAAUUGGUUGGGAUACAUUGGUAUGGGGAACAGUAAGGAAAAUUUCCAAAACCCCACAAAUAUAUCUAAGUACCAGAAGUACUCAUCUGGAUCCCAGCCAUAAGCAGUGAUAGGCAGGUAUAAAAGGAAUUUGUAUGGCAUUCUGAAUUAUAAUUAUCUUUGUUGUUGUUUAGUCGUUUAGUCGUGUCCAACUCUUCGUGACCCCAUAGACCAGAGUAUGCCAGGCACUCCUGUCCCUGUCUUCCACUGUCUCCUGCAGUUUGGUCAAACUCAUUCUGGUAGCUUCAAGAACACUAUCCAACCAUCUCGUCCUCUGUCGUCUCCUUGUGCCCUCCAUCUUUCCCAACAUCAGGGUCUUUUCCAGGGAGUCUUCUCUUCUCAUGAGGUGGUCAAAGUAUUGGAGCCUCAGCUUCACGAUCUGUCCUUCCAGUGAGCACUCAGGGCUGAUUUCCUUCAGAAUGGAGAGGUUUGAUCUUCUUGCAGUCCAUGGGACUCUCAAGAGUCUCCUCCAGCACCAUAAUUCAAAAGCAUCAAUUCUUCGGUGAUCAGCCUUCUUUAUUGUCCAGCUCUCACUUCCAUACAUCACUACUGGGAAAACCAUAGCUUUUACUAUACGGACCUUUGUUGGCAAGGUGAUGUCUCUACUUUUUAAGAUGCUGUCUAGGUUUGUCAUUGGUUUGUCAUCCAAACCUAAUAAAUGUUAAAGUCUUCUACCCAUUUCUGUGAUUUGUGCAGUGACUUGAAUGCCACCAACUAUCUGGUCACAUUGUAGUAUGAUCACAGUGUUGCACCAAUACAACGGCCUAAGUCUGAUCACAUUGUUGGCAACAUACCACGAGCUGUGAUGUUGUACAGGCACAGAUCUUCUCCUCCUGAUCCUAUAGAAUUGUGAAGUCGCAUAGCAACUCUCAAAACACGGCCAUAUGGUCCAAUUAAAAAUGGGCUUUAUACAUUCUGAGGCUCUUUUGCAUUGUGUGUCACAGCAAGAAAAUAAGACACUUAAAAUAAUUACUUUUACCUUCCAGGAACUAACAGCUUCAAGAUACUUUUAACAGCAUUUCCCCUAACUUCACUGUGGUUUUCCCCAUCUUUUUUUAUUUGAUAGCAAAAGUACGAAAGUGUCAAUUGGGAUCCCCUGGAGACAUCAUUUCCACUACCCAAAUUAUCAAACUGUUCAGGGUUUAUCUCCCCUACUGCGACUCGGUUGGAAGGUCUAAAUCAAAACUGCACAGAGGGCAAGCCAGAGGUUGAUUACAAUCAAAAUGAAGAUGUAGUUUGUACUUUCAGAUCUUGCACUGUGGCUGCCAAUUUUCAAACAAGGCACAAAUAAUAGUGUGCAUUCUGUCCGAACUCAAUAUAGAAGCGAUAAUCAAAUAGUUGGCAGAGAAAACUCUAAGAGUGGUAGGUGUCAUCACAGGAACAGGACUAUAUUGCAGGAAUAAUUCUAUAAACAUAAGUGCAAUGAUUCAUAUUUAAUGUCAUUUUAUAACUCUUCAUAAUUAAAGCAGCAAGACCAGGGCACAAUACUGCUGGUGCUUAUUAUUUGUUUGUUUUUAAUGAAUGAAUGAAUGUGGACCAUUCUUGCCUGUAGCUGUGGGGCUACAAGAGAAUCUGGGGGCAGGAAGGCCUCCUUACUCACCAUAAAAUCGAGCUUAGGCUUUGGGGAGAUGUAUUGUCAUGCCUCUCUGAAUACCCAACAAGUGUCUCAGAAAACCUGGGACAUCACAUUUUUUAUCAUGAGAGCGUGGUGGCCAUUUUGGUUCCUGUGAUCUUGUGCCAUUUCAUGGCAUGAUUUUGCUUCCCCCCUGGUCAUGAUAUUGUGUUGGGAUGCCACACCUCAACAAAAAUGCUUUUUUUGGGGGGGGGGGGACCAUGGCACGAAAUCGUAUGAGAUCACUGCAACCAAAAAGGCCUCAGUGCUCUUGUGGUUAAAAAAUGGGAAGAUGGUGUCCCACAUUUUGGCUUCAAAGUGUUGGAGUGUAUGGUGUUUGGCUCAUCCAGGGGUGAGGCUUAAAUAGGCUUUCCACACUUCUGAUUUCUCCUUGUGGUCCUAAUUCAAUCCAUUACUUUGGUCUUUCCUAUUUAUUCCAGGGUCCAGUCACAAGUAGGUUGGGGUGUUUUUUUGUAUUAUUCCUAUACAGUGGUACCUCGGGUUACAAACACUUCAGGUUACAAACACUUUGGGUUACAAACUCCACUAACCUGGAAGUAGUACCUUAGGUUGAGAACUUUGUCCCAAGAUGAGAACAGGAAUUGCGCGCUGGCAGAGGGAGGCCUCAUUAGCGAAAGCGCGCCUCAGGUUAAGAACAGUUUUGGGUUAAGAACAGACCUCCGGAACAAAUUAAGUUUGUAACCCUAGGUACCACAUCAGCAGCACAACAUGGGAAUGUGCAACAUGUUUACUACAUGUUUUGAGGGUACGCAUAUGUCCUUCUAACAGUAGAUCUAAAAUACAGGUGGCCCUCAGUGAUGUCAAGAGUGAAGCCACCAUAUGACUUUUCCUAAUCCACCUAAGCAGCAUCCUACGACAGGGAAUUCUAGAAAGCUCCAUGCCCACAAGACUGCAUCAUCUUCCUUGCCACAUGGUACCACUCUAUCCCCACCCUUUCCUUUUCUGUAAGUCCCCUGAGAAGCAACUUCCAACAGUCCUAUGCAUUGUCUACCCCAUACUGCUGCUAUCAAUAUGCCUAAAACCACACAAUAAGUCAUAGCUGAGUAGAACUGAGGCUUGCAUUAGGAACUAAUGACCUCAGGUUUAAUCAUACAUACAGAUGAAUGAUUCCUGCUUCCAUCUUAGUUCAGGCAACACAAACUUGCACUCUAGCUAAAGCUAAUUCUCAAGGUAAAUGGGUGGGGUCUCUUUUUUAAAACCCAUAAGACUUAUCCAUUGCUUUUUUAAAAAAAUAUUAAUAUUUUAUUAAGAGAAUUUCAUUUAUAAAAAGAAAGAAUGAGUAAAAAAGAGUGAGAGUGAAAAACUGUUACAAUACCAUACAUUAAUAUACAAGCGUAUAUAUUCUUAUUAUUCUAAUACACAUAUAAUUGUCUGUAACCUAAUAUAUUUGGUAUAAACUCAUUCCAAAUAUCCUUGCAUUUAUCCAAAGAAAGUCUGCGUCUAUAAGAUGUCCAUUCAUAUGUUGCCAAUGUUGUCAUGUCAAGCCAUUGUUUAAAGGGAAUUGUAUCUCUCUUCUUCCAAUUCAGCAGUAUCAAUCUCUUUUCGUUGUCCUGUUGUCAAUCUCCACACAAUGGGUAUAUAGUUCAAGAGGAUAUUCACCUCUGAAAAUCUUAUUCCCCCCCUCCCAUAGUGUCUUGUUUAUAUAUAGUCCAGGAUUUUCUCCCAAAACUUAGUGUGGGACACAGUUUCAAAGAAGCACUGUCCAUAUUACAUCUCCAACAAAGAGCUACAUGAGAUAGCCCUUCCUUGUACAAACUUAUUCAUUGCUUGAUGAAGGUCCAGGAACUCUGAUGCUCCAAAAUUAUCCAUCGCAGAUAUUGCAGCAGCUGCCUUUUUCAGAGUGAAAGGACUAUUUUCUUCACGCUGCGGAGAUGAGCAUAAAAGUAUAUUUUUGCUUCCCCCUUCGUACCUAACAUUCUGUUGUUUUGUGUCACUGGAACUUAUGUUCCGUACUUCUCUCUCACACACACAAAUGACAAAUGUUCAACGUGUUCCAAGUUACAUUGGCAGCCGUUUGGAAAGACUAGACUUAUGGGUAUUCUGGUGUCACUCACCACUGUAGAGCCUUUCCCCAAUUCUCCUGCUUCAAAAGCUUCCAGCAUCACUGAGUAAUACAGCCUUCAGCUCCCUGCUUUGUGUCAGGUUUCCAUUAGAUUAUCCUACAAAGCACCUGAGGUUGGGGAGGAACGUUGGGAGGGGGGGAAUGGAAACAGGACGGUGUGGCUUCCUUAGCAGAGCUUUAAGUCAACCACCCCUUUAGGCAAUCUUAGCAAGUCUCCCUCAUCCUUAGCAGAGGGGAAUUCUCCAAAAUGGCUCUCCUAAUCAAGCCCAUCUGGUUUUAAUGGGAGGGUUUAUAGGCUACUUCCAGGCGAAUGAGGAUCGUAUAUCCAUUGUGCUCCAGCAGAAAUUGUAUCCUGCAUCAUAAGAGCGUUUUCACCAAGGGUACAAGUUAGCCCCUGUUAUAUGAUCCAUGGCUGUCCCUCACCCCCACCCACCCUGAACAUCAAAAGAAUCCUUAAAACCUACUAUUCCUUUCAUUCCCCAACACUCUCCUUGUAUUGAAAGACCAUUUCAUAAAUGCAUAAAUUACAGGGCACAGGAGUUGCCUUUCAUUAGCGUGUUGUGUUAGAGAAGGGCUUUUUCUUCUCGUUGCUCGGAAUUCAGAAGGCAUUGAGUUUCUGUUUAUUGAGAGGAGAGGACACCCCUGUUUUAAACACAUAUACUUUAAACGCAUCUACUUGGCAGCAUAUUCCGCUGACCCUAGACGAGUUGUUGACUUUCAAGCAGGUUUAUUUUGGACAACUUCAAUGUACAAAUUCAAGACUGCAAGUAUACAAAUUCAUGGAGGGAAGGCUUUCAAUGACUGCUAGCCAUGAUGGCUAUGCUAUAGCAAUGCUUCCAAGUAUCAGUUGCUGGGAUAGGAGAAUGCUCAGGCUCCCUGGCGCAUUUGGUUGGCCAUUGUGAGAAAAGGAUACUGGAUCAGAUGGGUCUUUGGCCUGGUACAGCAGACUAUUCUUAUGUUCAUACACUUGGGCCAUGGAUCCAGUCCCUUCUCAGCACACAUGCGAUUCUGCACACAUGCACACAGCUCCGCACUGCGUGGGGACAGUGGGGGAUAGGGGCCACUGGUAUGCGAGUCCCCUCAUGUGCAGUUCUGCGUAUGUGUGGGAUAGAUUAAGCCAGGGGUCAGCAAACUUUUUCAGCAGGGGGCUGGUCUACUGUCCCUCAGACCUUGUGGCUGGCCGGACUACAGUGGUACCUCGGGAUGCGAAUGGGAUCCGUUCCGGAGCCCCGUUCGCAUCCUGAAUAGAACGUAAGAUACAACGGCACGUCUGUGCAUGCAUGGGUCACGUUUUGCCGCUUCUGCGAAUGCCCGUGGUGUCAUUUUGAGCGACUGUUCAAGCGUGAGUGGCGAAACCCGGAAGUAACACGCUCCGUUACUUCCGGGUUGCUGCAGAGCGCAAUCUGAAAGCACUCAACCUGAAGCACAUUCAACCCGAGGUAUGACUGUAUUUUUUGGGGGGGGGAGAGAAUGAAGUCCUAUCCCCCACAAAUAACCCAGAGAUGCAUUUUAAAUAAAAGCACACAUUCUACUCAUGUAAAAACACCAGGCAGGCCCCACAAAUAACCCAGAGGUGCAUUUUAAAUAAAAGUACACAUUCUACUCAAGUAAAAACACACUGAUUCCAGGAUCAUCCAUGGGCCGGAUUUAGAAGGCGAUUGGGCUGGAUGCGGCCCCCGGGCAUUAGUUUGCCUACCCAUGGAUUAAGCCAGGGGUCAGCAAAGUUUACUUUGCCUGGGCCGGUUAACUCCAGUGGAGAUCCCUCCAUGGGCUGGAUCAUGCACGGGGCCGCGAUUUCCGGCAUCUGAGCAUGCACCGUCGAGGGGGCGGCUCAGUUUGGGGGCAGUUUGGGGGCCGAUUAGACGACCCCCGUGGGCCGCUUGUGCCCCAUGGGCCUUAGGUUGCCUACCCCUGGAUUAAGCGAUCCCUGUUGCUUAAAAAAAAUGCAAUUGUUUUAUUGCUGUUGUCUUUUAAACAGUUUUACAAAAACCAAACAGUUAAAUGAGGUCAGGCGUUAGGACAGAACCCAUAACUCACCAUAUUUUGAAGAGCUGCCAUUGGCCAUGUUGGAAAGGGCCAAUGGAAGUUGCAGUGCAAUAACAUCUGAAGAGCCAGAGCUUCCCCGCCUAUGUUUUUGGAGGCUGGGUACAAUAAGUGAGAUGGGAAAGAAGGUUUCUUCUUGGUUGGGUGCGACUAUUAUUGAAGCUAUGUUUUGUUGCCCUCUUGAUUAAUUUUCAGGUCCUGCUUAGCUUCCCAGGUACAAUCAGUAAGCGUUUUUAUUGUUCUUAGGGUCAAUUCACACAACCUCUUUGAUAGCUAGCCGCUUGUUUCGUCAGACUCCAUGAAGCAUGUGGCAAUGAGUUUUCUGACCUGCUUAUGAAUGUGAAUCACAGCUGCUGAUAGUUAAUAUGUAUUUGCAUGGCAAAAUUGGCAUUUGUUGUUAGGAGAAAUGAUUCCAGCAAACCCAUUCAUGUAAGAUGAUUAUGUGAAUUGGAAUCGGCCGAAGCUGCUUUACAGGAAGAAAGACUUUCAGUGUCACUAGCAGAAUAUUGCAAGAGUCAACUGCAUUUUAAAUAUAUAGUGUUUGAAUUUGUUUUAUGCUCAUGUUAACACAAGCUUCUAGAGUUCCUUCAGUUUAGAAGGUAAAUAAAUCCUGUUCAGAAACAAACUUAUCUGGGUAUCAGAUAAGGUCAAGGUCUCACAGUCUUCCAAAUAAACAUUGAGGUCAUUGUAAUAGUUAGGAGCCCAAUUGGCUUAAGAUGAGAAACCCAAUGGAUCUGUCCUUUUAAGUGGGCUCCACUCUGCUCUGUUUGAUCAGAUACCAUGUCACAACUUUAUUUUGGUGGAUCACAUAAUGUUUUUAUUGUGCUUUUCUCAUUUUAAACUCAGUUUUGCAACCCCGGAGCCAAGGAGAUAAGUAAAUAUGCAACCUUUAGAAGGCAUCUGAAGUCAGCCCUGUAUAGGGAAGUUUCAAAAUGUUAAAUGUUUUUUAUGUUUUAUUGUGUUGGAAGCCGCCCAGAGUGGGGCUGGGGCAACCCAGUUAAAUGGGUGGGGUAUAAUGAUGAUGAUGAUGGAAUAGGACAUCCCAAUUUCCAUUGGAGAAAUUUUUGACAGUAUGCAUUUAUACAGAAGUCCACAAACAGUGGAGGCUGGUCUAUUAGGCCAAUGGGGCACUGCCACACCAAGGGAUGCGAGUGGCGCUGUGGUCCAAACCAUUGAGCCUCUUGGGCUUGUCUACUGGAAGGUUGGUGGUUCGAAUCUCUGCAACGGGGUGAGCUCCUGUUGCUCUGUUCCAGCUCCUGCCAACCUAGCAGUUUGAAAGCACGCCAGUGCAAGUAGAUAAAUAGGUACUGCUGUGGCAGGAAGGUAAAUGGCGUUUCCAUGCGCUCUGGUUUCCGUCAUGGUGUUCCAUUGUGCCAGAAGUGGUUUAGUCCUGCUGGCCACAUGACCCAGAACGUUGUCUGCGGACAAACGCCGGCUCCCUUGGCCUGAAAAGUGAGAUGAGUGCCGCAACCCCAUAGUUGCCUUUGACUGGACUUAACCAUCCAGGGGUCCUUUACCUUUUAUCUUUUUGCCACACCAACUUAGUAUGUGCAUGAGGAAUGCUUGGCUUAUGGUCUGGAAAUAAAUGGACAAAAUAUUCAGUCUCAAAACAAAAACAAAAAAAACUCCACACUAUCCAGACAACAUUUCGUCAAGUCCUCAUUUUAGAAAAGAAUAACAUUCUUCCUUUGCUUUUUAACACACACGAAACCAGAGCCAAUUACUCCAGAAGUUCAAAGAAACUUGCAGUGUGUCCUCAAGCGCAAGGGAAAAGAAAACUCCUCUGGCAGCCCCUGUUUUGAGAGAAGCAUCUUUCUCAGGAUUCAUUAUUCAAGGAAAACCAUUAAUUAUUCAAAAUAGUUUACAUACGAAACCUGACAUUAGGAUUUCAGGAUGCUUCAAGCUAAAAAAGGUUUCCCAGAGUGACAUGAUCUUGGCUCAGCUGCACAUCGCCAACCAGGUUUAUAUAAAACCGCUUCCCUGGUCAGCAGGAAAACAAGCUGGUCCCGGAUAUUUAAAAAGUCAAGGAAGCAUUUUCCUGGCCAGGUGCCAUUGCAUUAGUUAGCUACGGUAGCUGCAGUGCUCUUAAAUAAGAUUAGACAUAGUUGCCAUGAAUAUAAAACUAUACCCUUCCUUUAUUUAUGGCUGGCUGAACAGCUGUGAAUAAGUCACAGAUAUAGAGGGAUGAGCAGAGAUUGCUUAGGGGCAACAGUGGAAACUUGCCCCGAGUUUUGCUCUGGUUUAGAAAUCUUUGCAACAGGGUAUGCAGAAAGGGGUGAAAACAUUCAGGGGCAAAUUAACCCCUCCGUAACACACAUACCCCCAACCAAUCUUCAUGUUUACUUGCUUUUUGAAGGUGUGUGUGUGUGUUGACACACACAUCAGUUUACCAUUCCACUACCCCCACAUCCUCUAACACAGCCUUUCUUUGGUUCCUAUAUGUUGUUGGACUAUGACUCCUAUCACCCCUGACUGCUGUCCCUGCUGGCUAUGGAUGAUGGGAGUUGUAGUCCAACAACACCUGGGAACUCAAGGUUGAGAAUGGCUGCUGUAAGAUGACCAAGAAUCAGAGGCAGGAUUUUAAAUACCGGUAGCUAGUCUACUAUUCGAUUUCACGGCAGCAUUCUUUAUGCCCAAAGUAGAUAUUUCUUAAUAGGCAGGAAUGAGUACUUCUUGGUUAGCAAUAAGAUUACAAUUAAAGUAGCAACCUUUUACAAACAAACAAACAAACAAACAAACCGGCCACAAACCUCUUCAUUACAAAGGAAAUUGUUUCUUUCUCUUCCUCUCUCUGUUUGUUAGAUUAAUCCCAGGAAACGAGAAUAUAAGAUUCCCAUCUAGUCUAGCAUUCUGUUUCCCAUGGCAGCCAGCCAGCCAGGGCCAGCCCAAGAUUUUUUGCUGCCUGUUGCAUAGGCCAAGAUGGCACCCACCCACCCCAUUCAAUAUACAGAAGCUGACAAGGAUUGACAGUUGACUCAUAUUUCAACAUUGGCAACAGGGCAGCAUCAUCCUCAGCACCCAGAGGCAGAAGACUCAUUGCUACAAUUAUAUGGUUAAUAUUGUGCAAUUAACAAGGAGGAUAAGGCUUUCAUUGGUUCCUAGGAACAAUGACUAUGUUCUGCCUUCACUGCGGGAGGGUAGUUUGCCUCAGAAAACAAGUUGCUGGGAUUCACAAGUGGGGAAAUUGCAAUAGCACACAGUCCUUCUUUGAGUGCUUCCCAUAGACACCUGGUUGGAUGCUAUGAGAACAAGAUGCUGAAAUAGAUGUUCUUUCAGUCUGAUCCAAAAGAGCUGUUUUUAUUAUUAUUAUUAUUAUUAUUAUUAUUAUUAUUACCCCCCCUUUUCCCUGGUAGCUUAAUAGGGUCGCCAUACGUCUGGAAUUUCCCAGACAUGUCCAGGAUUUAACAGGUGAAAAUAGCAUCUGGGGGGAAUUUUUGGGAAAUCAGCAAAAUGUCUGUGAUCACCUAAAAAAGAACUGAACAACUUUGAGUUUCCUUUAAAAAAAGAAAAAAGCCCAACAGCUUCUGUGUCCUGAAUUUUACUUCUAGAAAUAUGGCAACCCUAGCUUACAGAUAAAGUAGGAACAGCUAAAAAGAUGGAGAGGGAAGGAAACCAAUAAUUAACAACGAAUUCAUCAUUAACAGAAUAAAAACUAUAUAUAGACCAAUGCAUCUUGUUUUUUCAACAUGGCGGUGUAUCGCCAAACUGCGAUGCUUGGCUGGCGAUACACCGGCAUGUUGAAAAGUUGAUAUAGCCAAGCCCUAGUAGUGGGACCAAGAGAAAGGCCUCUCCCGAAGACCUCAAAAUCUAGGUAGAUAUGUAUGAGGGAAUACGGUCUUUCAGAUAGCUUGGACCUAAAAGUCAUAGCAAGCACUCUGAAUUGUAUCUGGAAACAGACGAUUAGCCAGUGGAGCUGUGGUAACAAGGAGGCUGUAUGCUUCCUAAAACUUUAUGUUCUUAUUCUAUGAAAUGGCUGAGUCACCCUUAAUGCUUCUUAGACAAAAUAGUAUUUAGUAGCCAUGGUCUGGUAUUCAGAAAUGAACAGGUUCUGUACCUGGAAGUUCCACUUAGCAAUCCUAGUGAAGAGCCAUUGUCCUUGAUAGUCUGAUUUCUCAUGCAAGGGAGAUCCUCUUCAAACCGUACAAGAAGCAGCACAGUGAAUUAAUCUCCUUAGUCUUUAAGGAUCUCUGGACCAGGGCCUGCACACAUAUUUCACAAUAGCAGGGCGCUAAUUUCAUUGUAAAUAUCAAGAAAGCAGAAAGGAAGAAAAAAGAAACCACUGUGGUGCAGCUGCAAAUAAAUGAGCUGAGUAUUUUUUAUUUUAUUUUUUGAGGAAAGUUAACGUUCUCCUUAUUCAUACACAUGCACACACUCAUAUCCUCUUGGUUGUAAUUUCAGCAGCCCUACAUUCUCGACUUCAAACAGAGGUUAAGUACUAUGUUAUUUAAACAAGAUGGAGGUAUUUGAUAAUGACCGAGUAAGGAAAGUGGAGUUGGAGGAAUGCAGGAAUGGAAUGGAACUUCUAUCAGCAGGGCAUGGGAGAGAACCUAAAAACAACAGCCCAUAAAUCUACUUGGAUAAAAAUAUUGCUGUCACAGCAUAGUAAUUCAUCUCUACAUUUUUAUGUUCCCCACUUUGGAGGACAACUAUGUCUACAGAUAUUAUUUCACCUUAUUUUAUUGUGCUAUUUGAGGCAGUAUCCAAGACCAGUUAGAUUUAAUUAUCCCCAUUAACUUUUGUUAUAUGUCAGGCACAGCCAGGAUUUCGCAAUCAGACAGUGAUGCAAGUUGGGAGACUUGUUAUUAGGAUACAGGGGACUUGCUGGUUGACCAUCGAACCUCUUUGUGACUCAAGUGUUUUUGUUUUUGUCUCUGGUAUUUACUUGCUCAAGGACAGGAUAAAGAGCUUAAAAAGAUUAAAAUGUGCUCUUCUUACUGGACUCUUUAAUAGACUGAAAACACCCUCUGGCUGGGUACAAUUGUGAGGUAGAGGCUAUAUGCCUGCAGAAGUGGCUUCAAACUGAAUGACCCUAACUGGAUGGGGAAUAUGUGUGAUUUCUUAACCUGUUUCCAAAGCUUUUUAGUAAGAGAAACUGGGAUUCUACUCUUAUGAGGGACUGGAUCCAAGCUGUUCUGUUUUUCUUUUCCUGCCAAAUAACUGACUGCUGGGAUUCCAUUUACAGUAUUUAUGUACUUCUUUUUGUCACUGAGCAAUCUCAAGAUGACUUUCAUAAAAAUAAAUAAACCGUAUCAUUAAAAGAUGCAGUAUUGGUUUUCCAGGCUGCAUGCAUGUUCUGCAAAGACCAAUAAUUUUGAGAGAGCCAUAGAAACAAUAUCCAGUUCUGAUCAGGAUUGGUAAUUUUUUAACGGUACCCAGUGGAACAGCUGGACGCAGAGUUGUUCCGUCGGUGAGAAGAAAGCCUUGGAUGCCCCAUCUGGUUAUUACAGCAGUCCCAGCUUCUCAAAAAUAGCAGGGAGGUGGGAAAUGUGGACUAUAUUGACAUCACGUGUCAAUAUAGCCUCCAAAACUGACACGGCCCAAAAUCCAGGACGCCAUUUUCCAGCUCUGCACUCCUGCAUAAGUCAUGUGACCUGCGUGAGAUCGCAGACUCAGAAAAAGCACUUGGGGGAAGAUCGUGGUGCAACAUCAUGCAAGAGCAAGCCACCCAAAAUGGCUGCCAUGCUUUCGCAGCAGGAAAUGGAAUGUCCCAUUUCCCCCACCAGGGCAGUUAAUAGGUAUGACAGAAGAAACACUGAUUGGUGGGUGGUAGGUUUAUGAUUUCUCUUAGUGUGUCAGAUGACCUGGGGUGGGGGGAGAUGCCUGGAUUCCCUCCAGCAACAACUGAGCAAAAAAUGUUCAUUCAUUGUGGGAUCUAUCAAUCCAAUUGGAAUGGCCUUUAGGACAAGCUGGCUGAAUAUUCACAAUUUCCUAGAUCAGAGAAUAUAUGAUUUGCAGAGGAAUAAUAGUACAGGCAAUUAUCUAUUUAAAAAGGUAAAGGACCCCUGAAAGUUAAGUCUAGUUGCAGAUGACUCUGGGGUUGCGGCGCUCAUCUCGCUUUACAGGCCGAGGGAGCUGACAUUUGUCCGCAGACUGUUUUUCCGGGUCAUGUAGCCAGCAUGACUAAGCCGCUUCUGGCGCAACAGAACACCGAAAGCAGAGCAGCGCACGGAAAUGCCGUUUACCUUCCCGCCGGAGUGGUACCUAUUUAUCUACUUGCACUUUGACGUGCUUUCAAACUGCUAGGUUGGCAGGAGCUCGGACCAAGCAACAGGAGCUCACCCCGUUGCGGGGAUUUAAACCGCUGACCUUCUGAUCGGCAAGCCCAAGAGGCUCAGUGGUUUAGACCACAGUGCCACCCGCGUCCCCAUGCAGAUCUCUCAGGACUGGUGUUAUGUGGUCCUGGGGGCCACUCCCAGUCAUUUCAGAGAAGGUUACAGGUGAACCAUUUUGGGGAGAGCAUUGCACACAGCUGGGUUCCCCACCUGCUAAUUUGUGAUUAUCUUGCAUAUGAACCACCACCUAAUGCCAAUUAGCAUUUUAUGUGUGUACCUGAAUAGAUAUUCUGCCCAAAAUUUUCCUUUUCUUUCAUUUGGAUUUCCCCCUGCUGCAUUUUAUUUUUAUUUUAUCUAUUAAAUAUUUAUUCCGCCCUUCAUCCCAAGAUCUCAGGGCGGUUUCAUGUACACCAACGUUGCUUCAUUCCAUCAACCCUUUCCUUCUCUACCCAUCAUCAAGGUGUCAUUAAUGUGGGACGUUUUCAAGGUUGAAUCGUAUGUUUCAUAACAUAGAAAACGACAUCAAGGCUACUUUCACUACUGAUAUGGUAUUGAUCUCACUGUUGAACUAUAGUUUAUAGCAUGAUAGUCUUUUUACAAAAGACCCGAGUACCUGUCAAAUAAAAUCAAUACCAAUUCCUUCGCACAAAGCAUCAUUUUUCUCCCUCGUACAUUGUCGCUUUGCCACCUCCAGUGCACUCCUAGGAAUAAUCCAUCCAACUUAUUCCAAUGUACUGACGUGUCUUCUAGUUUUUUGUUGCUUUUUUUUAAAGAGAGGGGAGCAAACAGUGCUUUUUGGGGGGGGGUACGCAGGGGUACGCAUACCCCUAAACUUUUUGUGAAUCUAAGUUUGGCCUCAUUGAGGGGCAGUAUUUCAAUAUGAGUAGGAAAAUUAGAGUACCCCUAAACAUUUUGUUUAGAAAAAAGCACAGGGAGUAAAUCAUUUGGGGCCACAUGUCUAGUAAGUGCUCCUGAGACACUGAAUUUUAAGAUGGUCGGAACACAGAGGUAGAAAAAGAGAUUUUGUUUAGAGCUGGUCGUCUUGAGUGGGUCUCUGAAGGACUUCCCACACCCUUUAUUUUCUCUAUGAAGAGUUGUCAGUUGUCAAUAUUUUUCUCAAGUGACUUCCACUGUGGAAGUCAUGUUGGAAUUUGUGACAUGUGAAUUCAAUCUUUUCUUUUGCAAUGAGUGUUGAUCUUGGAUUGCCUUUUGUUGAUCCGCGCGUAUUGUUUUGUUUUGUAUUUGUUUUGUUUUUAAAACCAAUAAAGCAUUAAGGAAAUAUAUGAGGAAUAAUGGCAGAGGAGGCAUUAACGGACAUAGAAGAGAAACUUGAAAUUGUCUUGGGACUUUUGACCCAAGUGUGGGAGAGAAUAUGUUUUUGUUGUUGUUGUUUUAAAAAAAUCAAUUUUAUUGAAGAUUUUAAACACAUUGAGCACUAAAAUCCAAACACAUUUAUAAAAAGAUAAUGAAAAGCAAUAUAUCGAAGAAGAAGAAGAAGAAAGAGAAAUAAAAUAUAAACUAGAAUACUCAUGAUCUUUACAAAACACAAUUAUAUAAAAAAAGAGAAAGAGGGGUUAUGUGAUGUAUUUUUGGCUACUAACUUGGGGGGGGUGUCUUUUUGAGAGAAUUUGAAAUAUGGAUAUUGUGAUGAAGGUUGAUGGUGUUCUUUCUUUCUUUUUAUUUUUUUUAAGAAGGACAUCCCCCCUUUGCCUCUUCACCUUGGAAAACAGGCAACACUUAUAUGCAUUUCCACCUCAAUUGUUUGAUAAUAAUUUUGGGUUGCCAAUGUUCAUCUUUGUUUUCAGGCAUCCAAAAUUGGCACAUUCUGCAGUCUGGUGUCUUCCUAACAUGGCACAAAACUGGGGAAAGGAUGCUGUGCCCAAUAUGUGCGUUCAGUGUCUAUAUUUCUUUAUCAAAAUCAAUGGAAGGGGAGGGGAGGGGAGAGACUGAGAAGGGGAGAGACGAGUGGCAGAAUAAGAUUCAAAGAGGUGGGGGGGUUGGAACUGACAAGACCAUAUGGUCCUUUCCUGUUCUGAAUUUUACAUACAGAAUUUCCAGCUUGCCAGAUGGAAGAAAAUGGGCUUUUUUUGGAAAGCACACAUGGGUUCCUCUAACAAAGCUCAGCAAUUAUAAGUCGUCAGUGUAAAAACCCAUCUGACUCUUAUAAAAUAUGUUAAGGACAAGUUCUGCAGAAUGCUGGGAGAAGAAAACCUCAGCCCCAUCAAGUUAUUGGCGACUUUUCUUUAAGGGUCAGGCUAAAGCUGUAAGAUUGGUAUUCACUAAUCCAGUAGAGUGAAGGAGCAGAUCUCAUCCCGGCUUUUAUGGAUGUUCUGUGUUAGCAGUCUGUAUGUUGUUAAAUCUUAAAAAUAAAAUAAAAAUACAGAUAGUAACAUACACCUUGGUUUUGUUUGCAUGAAUGCGCACAGCUGAUAGGAUUUGAUCAAGAUGGCAAGUUUCCCUUCACCAUAAAUCCUGGGGCCAGCAGGUUGAUGGAAGCAUUUUGAGAGAUAAUGUAAACCGAAACUAUUUUUUUUUAAAAUAGAUAAACUCAUCUGUCAAAACACUCUGGCAUGUAACGCUCUAGGAAGAACUUUAAAAAGGCUGCAUUCCGUUUGCACAUCAGUACCUCUUUCUAGGAAGCUUAAGAAAACACCAGCAAAGAUACCUUUUAUUAGGAGCUGGAGGAGGACACAUGAAGGUUAAAUUUAGUUGAAGACCAAACAAGAGCUAUAUUUACAGCACUAUCAUUAAUUCGCUGUUUCCCUUCCCAGAGAAAGCUGGCUGCCUUCCAGUUUAUUUUAAAAAAAACAACUACAAUCAAAAGCGGAUCUUCCCUCUGUACACAAAAUGAGUCAAGGAUGGAUUGUUUACUCAAAUAGUCUUGCUCACUGAGGUAUAAAAACCAUAAAGGCCAAAAAAUGCAUUUGGGAAGAAAUUGCUGUUUCAUGAAUAUUGCUACAGUCAGGCCAAUGUCAACAGGGGACCAUUACCUUUGCUUUAGAUCUCUAAACUAUCCAAGGUGGACCAUGCUAAUUAAUGUAGGGACAUCUUCCUGAAGAAAGAAGCCCUCAAAUGUUGUUUUUCUGGCUGAGUCUCAAAAUGUGUUCAGGGUCCUCCGAAGGCUAGAAUAGACAAAUUCCACUUGUGGGCUUGUUUUGGUGAAAAGCGACACAAUCUAGCCAAGGGAGUUAAGCAGGUGCUUAAACUCAUUUAACUUUGGCUGGAUCAUGUCCAUAGAUUGGGACCAACUGUUGUGCAGGGAGACAGGCUUGGGGGGGGGGAGAUGGAGGACACUUUGCUUUUAAGACUUCUGCAUUUGCAGCUGAACUUUGCCCAUCUGCCCCUUACCGGUCAAUUCUUCUCAACCUGUACUUUGUAAGAAAACAGAAGAUGCAAUUCAUUCCUGAUUUUGCAUAACAACAGCAACAACAGUUUUAUUAUUUAUACCCACCCAUCUGGUUGGGUUACCCCAUAGAGGGAUGAACACAUAGAGGGAUAGGUUUGAAGAUCUCUGAACACCCAAAGAGAACCUAGGGGCACAUAAAACUCUAAUCCUCCACACGCAGCGUCCCAGACACGCCAAUCUUUGGCAUUAGAAACCAUGUGAAGCAUUUUAAGUUGAUCAUGCAAAGUAGCUAAUCCAAUAUUAGUUUGGCACAUAUGAUAGUAAAGGGCAAAAUCCAAUGUCUUGUGAAUGGAUUUCCAUUCACGCAACAGGAUUUUGCUUCACUCUCAUUCCCACCCGCAUCACCCAAAAUCUGCUCUAGAGCAUAUGCCAACCCUCACACAGCAGGCUGAACAGAAUGCGAAAUCCCAUUGCACAAGUAGGCACCACUGGAUACAACCCAAAAUAUAUGUGGCCUGUUUGUACCUGAAUAAAUGUAUGACAAGAGGGCGAGAGAGACAGAGAAAACAAUAUAAAUUCACUUGCAUACCCACAAGACAAAUUAAAGCCAUUGAAGGUAGGUAUAGGGUAUUUUCCUUUUAUUCUGUAUUGUGACCAGCCCUGAGAUGCUUCGUGAUGAGGGGAGGGAUAAAGGUACAGCUCCAAGGGUCUUCUGGCGGUUCCCUCACUGUGAGAAGUGAGGUUACAGGGAACCAGGCAGAGGACCUUUUUGGUAGUGGCUCCCGCCCUGUGGAACGCCCUCCCAUCAGAUGUCAAGGAAAUCAACAACUAUCUGACUUUUAGAAGACAUCUGAAGACAGCCAUGCUUAAAUGUUUGAUAUUUUAUUGUGUUUUUAAUAUUCUGUUGGGAGCCGCCCAGAGUGGCUGGGGAAACCCAGCCAGAUGGGCAGGGUAUAAAUAAUGAAUUAUUAUUAUUAUUAUUACAUUAUAGAUAUACUAAAAAUCUUUGUAAACUGCCUGGAGGUUUUAUUUGCAAUUAAGCAGUAUGUCAAUUUGGUUAGAUAAAUAAUUAAAAAAUAAGCAACAAGGAAGUCAUUGGGACUCUAUUGUGGUUCAGAAAUGCCCACUUACGCAUGUACCUUCGGAUUCCUGGUGCUCCUUUCCCUGGAGCAGGUAAAACUGCAAAGCUUCAUUUUAUGAGUUGCAAAAUGAAUUUGUCCAAAAUGUAUGUCAUGCUUCCUCCAAGGAGCUCAGGGCAGUGUCUAUUUUCGUAGGCUAAUGGAAAGGACUUAUAAACCCCAUUGUUGGAGCUCAUACUAUGUAAUGUACUAAGUCCCUGACACAGUGAAUAUUCACGUCUACAUAUUUUCUUCACUGUUGUAAUAGUUCUUUAGAAUUAUGGCCUUAUUAUGUUGACAUCAGGAUGUGGGAUUCAGGUCCUGCCUUCUUAAUAUUAGAAGUAGGAGCUACAGGGGAAGAUGCUAUGAAAAAAGAAGAAAUAGAUGAAGAAAUAGAUAGUAGAUUUGAACGGGUUUUGUUUUACUAAAUGAAAUAGCUUAUAGAAGGGGAAAUAUUUCCAAUAGAUUGAGUUAUUGUAUGUAGCAAGAACGCUACCCAUCUCAAGACUAGGUAAAAGGAUUUACUUUUCAACACACAUGGAUAGGAUCAGGCUUCCUGAUAUACAUUUGGGCGAAUUUUGAAGCACAAGAGGUGGUAAACAGUUUACAGAUCAAUGGUUUUGCUCGCUUCCUCCCAAUGGCGAGCUUCCCAAGACCACAGAAUUCCAUGUGUAUCAUCUGUCCCUAGUUAAAAACCCUUUACAUUGGCUUUAACACCUACAAUUACUCAUCUCGGGCUGUAAUUUCAGCGUUAAACAGCACUGCUGUGUGCCCAAGAGGCAGUCGAGAGAUGUAAGACAAACAGACUUCACACUGGAAGAAUGCCUCUCAGUCAGCUGAGUCCGCCGGAGGGAAAACUGUCUCUAAAAUCUGCUUUGUUUGCCAGGCAGCAUUUUGUAAACAAGCCUUUGAUAAUGACACAGUCAUAUUGAAUUGGGGCUGUGUGACUGAAUGGCUAUUGAACUUCUAAGUUAUGAUUCAGCGCACCACUAGGAGAACAGAGCACAAAAACAUUAAGCACCACCAGAUGGUAGUUCAAAGCCCAUCAGAUACACAGAUCCCCUUUUCUUCUCUACAAAAGAUUGGCAAGGCUUAAUAUCUGGGAUGUGGGGGUGGAGCGGGGGAGGGGGAGACAAGCCCAUUCAGAUAAAUGGAGCUGAUUUGGGGUUUUUUGUCUUCCUAGGGUAUUCUAGGAAAGUCAUCCAACGGGUCAAAUUACAAACAGGCCCAGAUCAAAGGGCUACAACUGCAGUAGUAGGUCAAAGUGAUUCACGCUAUGUCAACUGGAUCAGCGUGAGAUCCUAAACUGCAGUGCAGCAGCCCUAAGAAAGAGGCUUGACCAAACUAAUUAGGUGAAGUAGUGUUUCUUUUUUUUCUGCUGCAGGUAGAAACAAAAACAGCUCAGCCCUUAAACUGGUGGACUCAUCAGAAUUCAGUUGGGAGGAUGCAGUUUGCAGGCAGAGGAUCAAGGCAUCUGCCCAGAGGGGGUCUUGACUCUCCGAGGUUAGUGGUUUGGCCCUUCCCUCUAAAAUUACAGGACGUCCAAGUGGCAAUCAUGUUGCAUUCCCAGCCAGAAUUCUACCCUCUGGUUUCGCUGAUAGAAUCAGUGGCCCCAAAGCCAGAAAAAUAUCCAUCUGAUCUAUUUUGCUGCCAGUGCACAUGCACGCGCUAUCACAAUGACGUAUGCGCCCACUCACUGGCAAGGUGAAUUUUUAUUUCACUGCACAUGUCAUCUUAUUGUCACUUAGGCUGUGUAUGAACUUUCGUCUUUCAAGCACUGCAGUUUGGGGGUCCAAACUUCAUGUAAAGUAUAUUGCUUUGCAGGGGUCCAUACCUAAACAUCAUGCAGAGAGUAUGCACCGCUGUUAAAUCAUUGCAAUCUAGAUACAUGUGUCCUCUCUGGCUAGUGGACUUUGCUCCCUCCACUUUCAAUGGCUACCACAACCUCCCCCUUCCCUUGCAAGCAAGUUCAUCGGUAAACUGGAAAUAAACUGGAACUGCAGGUACAGUUAGUCAUAUUGUACUCAAGUGUGUCCGCAGGUUUCCUUCCUUUGUUCCAUGAAGGCAACUUGAUGAGUACAUUUUUCGUUUGUGGGAUUGUGGGGUGCAGAGGCACUCUGGGUUGUAUGCAACUAAGAUAUACUCAGAGUAGCCCUAUUUAAAUGAGUUAGUCAUGCCUAUGAAUUUCAGUGGGUCUUCUCACCUGUAGCUCCUGCCCAGCCUCAAACUGAAUACCUCUGGAAGAUGAGAGUCUUUUGCACCAUUUCCAUGUGUAAAGGUAAAGGUAAAGGUAAAGGGACCCCUAACUGUUAAGUCCAGUCGUGGACCACUCUUGGGUUGCGGCGCUCAUCUCGCUUUACUGGCUGAGGGAGCCGGCGUUUGUCCACAGACAGCUUCUGGGUCAUGUGUCCAGCAUGACUAAGCCGCUUCUGGUGAAUCAGAGCAGUGCACGGAAACGGCGUUUACCUUCCUGCCGGAGCGGUACCUAUUUAUCUACUUGCACUUGAUGUGCUUUCGAACUGCUAGGUGGGCAGGAGCUGGGACUGAGCAACAGGAGCUCACCUCAUCGCGGGGAUUCGAACCGCUGACCUUCUUAUUGGCAAGCCUUAGGCUCUGUGGUUUAGACCACAGUGCCACCCGCAUCCCUUUCCAUGUGUAGAUGACCCUUAAUAAAUUGGGGUGGUAGCAUUCUUCCUUUAUGCUUGCUAGACAUAAGCAAUUGUUCUAUCCCAUUCACUGAUGAUUGGAGUAAAUCAAUGCUGCAAGAUGAUACCCUUCCACCUACAGUUACAGCCAGGGCUCCCCCCCCCCCCCAGCCAUAACUCAGUUCUGGCACCUUACAAGUGUGUGCCAUUACCAUUAUAAGAGAACAAGGGAGGCAUUUGUGGUGAGUUCCAGCACCUCUUAUUUUAAAACAGAAAAAUAGCAAUGGUUACAGCCAAAUAUCCAAAUUGCUUCAGUUUCGCUUCAAGGACUUAAAAAAAAUGCAAUCAAACUCUUGGAAAAACACAUCAUAGAAUCCUGCCAUUAGCAUCAUUGUGUAAAUCUCACUGUCCUCAGUGGAGAUGCUAUUUUAGUGCAGAGUUAAGUGGAAAUUCAGUGCCUUGUUUUUGGGAUGGUUACCAUGACACAAGCUAGACUGUUUCAUUAUUCUUUUGAAAGCUGUUGUGUGAGUUGCCCUUGUUUACUUUUUCACUUGAUCAGCACAAGUCCUGUAGAAUCGUCUCCUUGCAUCUUUCUAGCAGCAAGCAAGUCAAUCAAAGCACUAAUUAUCCCAGGUUCACCAUUAAACAUGUCCCAUUCUACCGCAUGGGAUUCCCAAGAUACGGCUGCCUUUUCUCUUUAAAGUGAGCAGAAGUCCCAGGCUCUGAAAGCUGAACGUGAGUGUUGGUGGCCUACUUUGCGAAGAAUAAGUAGCUUCUUAAUAAGCGAUGCAUAAUAUUUUUUUUCUCUUCCAGCUGCAAACAUUCCCCCUCUCUCCCUCACAUCUUUCUCUGGGGUUAGACAGAG